rnacentral:rRNA from 1 species
UACAGAGGUCUCAAGCGUUGUUCGGAUUCAUUGGGCGUAAAGGGUGUGUAGGUGGCGCCGUAAGUCGGGUGUGAAAUUUCGGAGCUUAACUCCGAAACUGCAUUCGAUACUGCGGUGCUUGAGGACUGGAGAGGAGACUGGAAUUCAUGGUGUAGCAGUGAAAUGCGUAGAGAUCAUGAGGAAGACCAGUGGCGAAGGCGGAGACCUGGGCCGAUACUGACGCUGAGGUGCGAAAGCGUGGGGAGCAAACAGG